GAUGAACGCUAGCGACAGGCUUAACACAUGCAAGUCGAGGGGCAGCAUAAAAGUAGCAAUACUUUGGUGGCGACCGGCGCACGGGUGAGUAACGCGUAUGCAACCUACCUAUCAGAGGGGAAUAACCCGGCGAAAGUCGGACUAAUACCGCAUAAAACAGGGGCACCGCAUGGUGAUAUUUGUUAAAGAAAUUCGCUGAUAGAUGGGCAUGCGUUCCAUUAGGUAGUUGGUGAGGUAACGGCUCACCAAGCCUACGAUGGAUAGGGGAACUGAGAGGUUGGUCCCCCACACUGGUACUGAGACACGGACCAGACUCCUACGGGAGGCAGCAGUGAGGAAUAUUGGUCAAUGGGCGAGAGCCUGAACCAGCCAAGUCGCGUGAAGGAAGAAGGAUCUAUGGUUCGUAAACUUCUUUUGCAGGGGAAUAAAGUGCAGGACGUGUCCUGUUUUGUAUGUACCCUGAGAAUAAGGAUCGGUAACUCCGUGCCAGCAGCCGCGGUAAAACG
rnacentral:rRNA from 1 species